rnacentral:rRNA from 1 species
UGGGGAAUUUUGGACAAUGGGCGAAAGCCUGAUCCAGCGACGCCGCGUGAGGGACGAAGCCCUUCGGGGUGUAAACCUCUGUUGUGAGGGACGAAUAAGAUCUGGAGGAAAUGCCAGAUCGAUGACGGUACCUCACGAGAAAGCCCCGGCUAACUACGUGCCAGCAGCCGCGGUAAUACGUAGGGGGCGAGCGUUACCCGGAUUCACUGGGCGUAAAGGGGGCGCAGGCGAUCCAGUAUGUCGGGUGUGAAAUCCCACAGCUCAACUGUGGAAUUGCGCCCGAAACUACUGGGUUUGGGGCUGGUAGAGGGAGACGGAACUGCUGGUGUAGGGGUGAAAUCCGUAGAUAUCAGCAGGAACGCCGGUGGGGAAGCCGGUCUCCUGGGCCAAGCCCGACGCUGAGGCCCGAAAGCUAGGGGAGCAAACCGGAUUAGAUACCCGGGUAGUCCUAGCCGUAAACGAUGCCCACUAGGUGUGGGGGAGUCAUUCCUCCGUGCUGUAGCUAACGCGUUAAGUGGGCCGCCUGGGGAGUACGCCCGCAAGGGUGAAACUCAAAGGAAUUGGCGGGACCCCGCACAAGCGGUGGAGCGUGUGGUUUAAUUGGAUGCUAAGCCAAGAACCUUACCAGGGCUUGACAUGCAGGUGGUACCAACCCGAAAGGGAAGGGACCCUUUCCUUUUGGAAAGGGAGCCUGCACAGGUGGUGCACGGCCGUCGUCAGCUCGUGCCGUGAGGUGUUGGGUUAAGUCCCGCAACGAGCGCAACCCCUGCCCUUAGUUGCCAGCGGUUCGGCCGGGCACUCUAAGGGGACCGCCGGCGACGAGCCGGAGGAAGGAGGGGACGACGUCAGGUACUCGUGCCCUUUAUGCCCUGGGCUACACACGCGCUACAAUGGGUGGGUACAGUGGGUCGCGACCUCGCGAGAGGGAGCCAAUCCCCAAAACCAUCCUCAGUUCAGAUCGCAGCUGCAACCCGCCUGCGUGAAGCCCGGAAUCGCUAGUAAUCGCGGAUCAGCCCAUGCCGGCGG